UUUUCGCCAUACAACCACUUUCACACAAUCGGAAGCGCACUUGUGCCGUUUCGCAAUUCCCUCUCGCAAUUAUUUCAGUUUUGACAAUACGUUACAGUUAAAUUCACACCUACGAAUGUACUUUAUUAGUUUCAAUAUUUUACGGAGAGAACCAACAACGAAGUACUAAGAACCAUUGCAGUUAAAUGAGGGAAAUCCAAUUUUCUGUAUAUAUUUUUCUAGAAAAAGGCCUUAGAGCAAUGAUGAUCUUCAGAUCUUUCUAUAUAAUCGUCAUGGACCAUACGGUCUAUACUACACGGUCAAAACUAUUUGUUGUUUUGAAAAAGGUUUUUCUAUAUUAUUUACAGCUCUCGCUCACACGAUUUCUUUUUCUUAUCUAUAACGAGCUAAAUUAUCAAAAUUUUGUUCCUUAAGCUUGGAAGAAUAAAGUAAAAGAAUGCUUGUGAUUGAAUGUACUAUAUAGCAAUCAUACAUUGAUAAAGACUGGAGAAACUGUAUCUGUAAAGUAGAUUUAUUGUACACACAUGAUGUGAUGACAACCAUCAAUUAAUAUGAAAUCAAUUAGCCGUUGAGCGUUUUUCUAUCAAAACAACUGGGAAAAUAUGAAAUACCCAAGUCACUUUACAUCAUGCUAAUUAAAACCCACCAGAAGUCGUCAAAAACAACUCCGGACAUUUAUAAAAAAUAGCAAGUUUUAAGGCGUGUUAGGUGCGAUCACGCAUGCGUUUCCGAAAAACUUGGGGUGGGACAACUUCCACUGUAUUUUUUCAUGAACCUACAGGAACUUUCGAGAAUUAAAAAAAAUUUUACGACAUGAUCUAUUUUACUUUACAGAAAUCAAUAAAAGCAUUAUUUUUUUUCUUGCAUUGCGUGUUGUUGCGUAAAUAAGUUAUGAAGGAAUGCUAACCUCAACAGCGCAAUACAGUAUAUCAAAAAUAACCUAAAGAGUAUUCAUCCUUCUGCUGCACCAUUAUUUGUCAAAAGGAAAUGGUUAACCCAACAAAAUAAAGUGUGGUUCACCAUGCAGUGAAAAACAAGUCUUUCAUCAUUAUAAAUAUAAAAAACGCAAACACCAUAAAUCAUUUACAAGUGUUCAAAAGUCAGCGAACAGUUGCUUACAUCGAAAAGAAAGACGAUUUGCAAAAAACGAUCAGGCAAUUUUUCUGCUAGUAAAAUGGAUCGAUAUUUUUUAAGAAGUAAAAAGGAAGUUUAUGUUAUUGUUUUAACACUGUGCCAGCUCUGUGCAGCAGCAGCCAAGAAAACGUGUGAACCUCAGGAAGAUGUUGUGUCCAUAUACAGUGACAAAUUUGACGAAGUCCCCCCCCUCAAGGCUUCGGACCAUAUUUCAUCAAAAUACACCGCUGUGCAGAAUAUUCACAAACUCACUAUCCGUCGAAACCAGUGAGAUGGCAAAAGAUAGGCAUCGUACUGUGAGAUUCACUGACCUUUAAAUAUUACGAAUACAUUUUACAUAAUCACACCAAGUGUAAAUGCUCCACCAAUUUAACAGUCUUUCAAUGCAACAGAGAAAGGCGUGUAGAAAAAGGCCAUAUAGUGAUGAUCAUCUUCAGACCUUUCUAUAUAAUCGUCAUGGACCUCACGGUCUAUACUACACGGUCAAAACUAUUUGUUGUUUUGAAAAAGGUUUUUCUAUAUUAUUGACAGCUCUCGCUCACACGAUUUCUUUUUCUUAUCUAUAACGAGCUAAAUUAUCAAAAUUUUGUUCCUUAAGCUUGGAAGAAUAAAGUAAAAGAACGCUUGUGAUUGAAUGUACUAUAUAGCAAUCAUACAUUGAUAAAGACUGGAGAAACUGUAUCUGUAAAGUAGAUUUAUUGUACACACAUGAUGUGAUGACAACCAUCAAUUAAUAUGAAAUCAAUUAGCCGUUGAGCGUUUUUCUAUCAAAACAACUGGGAAAAUAUGAAAUACCCAAGUCACUUUACAUCAUGCUAAUUAAAACCCACCAGAAGUCGUCAAAAACAACUCCGGACAUUUAUAAAAAAUAGCAAGUUUUAAGGCGUGUUAGGUGCGAUCACGCAUGCGUUUCUGAAGAACUUGGGGUGGGACAACUUCCACUGUAUUUUUUCAUGAACCUACAGGAACCUUCGAGAAUUAAAAAAAUUUUACGACAUGAUCUAUUUUACUUUACAGAAAUCAAUAAAAGCAUUAUUUUUUUUCUUGCAUUGCGUGUUGUUGCGUAAAUAAGUUAUGAAGGAAUGCUAACCUCAACAGCGCAAUACAGUAUAUCAAAAAUAACCUAAAGAGUAUUCAUCCUUCUCCUGCACCAUUAUUUGUCAAAAGGAAAUGGUUAACCCAACAAAAUAAAGUGCGGUUCACCAUGCAGUGAAAAACAAGUCUUGCAUCAUUAUAAAUAUAAAAAACGCAAACACCAUAAAUCAUUUACAAGUGUUCAAAAGUCAGCGAACAGUUGCUUACAUCGAAAAGAAAGACGAUUUGCAAAAAACGAUCAGGCAAUUUUUCUGCUAGUAAAAUGGGAAUCUUAAAUGCGAAAUGGAGUGUAUUCCCUCUUAUGUUAAAGGCAGCUUUGCUUGUUGGAGGUACUUCUGGAAAACUGACAUCGUCAGAAUAAUUUUCUGGUUAUAAUUUAUCUAGUUAGAGCUUUGUACAGUAUUUUACCAACGCUAGAGCCGCCACACCAUGAAAUUCUCUAUGGCUGUUAGCCUGCCUUAACUGAAUUCAACACAUUAUGCAAUUCAUUUGUGUUGUCGUAAAAAAGGAAUAAUGUAUUUGUUGAUGACUUGUGGAAAGAAUAAAGAGUGCGAAGAUUGCAUAAGAAGACGUCAAACCAUGAUCAAAAUGGUUUAAUAGAAUGCUGAAAAGACACAAAUCAAAAGAAAUGAAGAAUACAGAGAACCAGACUGAGUCAUCAAUAAAAAUUGAUGCAGACACAGAAAAUGACCCCACAAGAACAAGACUUGAAUUAGUUGUGACGUGUCAGCGUAAAUGCAGAAAAAUUAUGGGUACUAAUACAAUUAAAUCUAACAAAAUUAAUAUCAGCGUACUGAUAUAACUAUGUUUUUCCUGGUAUCUCGCAUUUGAAGUAGCUUGUAAAUCUCCGUUUGUCCAUUUUGAAAAUUAUAGACACACCUUGUUCAAUCUGCUACAAUGCUUAUUUUUUAUUUAUUUCUUCUUGAUAUAUAACAAACUGGAAUUUUCCUGUGGUCAAGAUAGAAAUUAAGGCAAAACAUUCCGCUAUAACAAUAAUAUAUGCCAUCUAAACUUUAUUCGAUAAACUUUGUAUUGGACGAACUUUCUACUGUAUGGAAAUAAGCCAUGGCUACAAUUUGAGUAGGCCAUGAAUAAGCUUUGUAUUGGACAACUCUUUAACAAGCAGUCUAUUAUAGGCUCAAAAAUCAUUAUAAAUAAAAUUAGAAACGAUUGUAGAGAGUCAUAUUUCACGGUCUCUAUAUUUGUCUGAUUUAAUCCAUGCAGCAAAAUAAUUUCUGUCGAAAAAAAACAGACAUGUUGAAAAUAAUAAACAUACCUAUUUUUUCUCGCAACAUUACUAUCGUAAAGAUGUUAGCAGAUAUUAUUGCGACAGAUAUUUGUGUCGACAAAACACUAUACUUUAAGAGGUGAUGUCUUUGUCUUUACUAUAAAUAUCGGUAGAUUUUUUUUAUUUUAGGCAGGAUAUGCUGUUCUGCUUUUUUGCUAUGUGUUGUUAAUCAUAUUCAUUGUCAUGGUAUCGUUUGCGUAACAGAGAAUUCGAAUAAACCUAUGUAUGCUGGUGUAUUUUUUCAUCCAUAUAUAUUAUAAUUGUUAUAUAUAAAA